AGUGAACGCUGGCGGUAGGCCUAACACAUGCAAGUCGAACGGCAGCACAGUAAUAGCUUGCUCUUACGGGUGGCGAGUGGCGGACGGGUGAGGAAUACAUCGGAAUCUACUUUUUCGUGGGGGAUAACGUAGGGAAACUUACGCUAAUACCGCAUACGACCUACGGGUGAAAGCAGGGGAUCUUCGGACCUUGCGCGGUUGAAUGAGCCGAUGUCGGAUUAGCUAGUUGGCGGGGUAAAGGCCCACCAAGGCGACGAUCCGUAGCUGGUCUGAGAGGAUGAUCAGCCACACUGGAACUGAGACACGGUCCAGACUCCUACGGGAGGCAGCAGUGGGGAAUAUUGGACAAUGGGCGCAAGCCUGAUCCAGCCAUACCGCGUGGGUGAAGAAGGCCUUCGGGUUGUAAAGCCCUUUUGUUGGGAAAGAAAAGCAGCAGGUUAAUACCCCGCUGUUCUGACGGUACCCAAAGAAUAAGCACCGGCUAACUUCGUG
rnacentral:rRNA from 1 species